CACAUGACUAAGGGGUGGUCCUUGGUGCCCGAGUGAAGGAGUCUGCAGGAGGAUGAGUGCCCUCUGUCUCUGUUGGAUGGGUGCUCCUGUAUCCUCUCCUCUGGAUCUCUAUCUGAGUGAGCUUCCUGCACUCUACAUGGGCAAUGGGAGUCCUCUCUUGUGCUGUCAGGGUGCUGUUGGACUUGUAGUGAGUGUCCUCUUCCAGUGUUAGCUCAGAGAGUGGCCCUUGUGUAUGUUGGCUCAGUGAGUGGCCCCUGGAUGUGCUGGAUCAGUCAGUAGUCUCUGGUAUCCUGGCUCAGUGGCCCCUGGUUAUAAUGGCUCAGUGAGUGGCCCCUGGGUAUAAUGGCUCAGUGAGUGGCCCCUUGUAUGCUGGCUCAGUGAGUGGCCCCUUGUAUGCUGGCUCAGUGAGUAGCUCCUUGUAUGCUGACUCAAUGAG